rnacentral:tRNA from 1 species
AGGUCAGUGACAGAGUGGCCGAUUGUUUGAGGUUUAAGCCCUCACUCUCGAAAGAGACGCGCGGGUUCGAAUCCCGUCUGACCUA